rnacentral:rRNA from 1 species
GUCCACGCUGUAAACGAUGAGAACUAGAUGCUGGUGGGGAACCCAUCAGUAUCGAAGCUAACGCGAUAAGUUCUCCGCCUGGGAGUACGGCCGCAAGGUUGAAACUCAAAUGAAUUGACGGGGCCCGCACAAGCGGUGGAGCAUGUGGUUUAAUUCGAUGAUACGCGAGGAACCUUACCAGGGCUUGAAAGUGAGAGGAAUUAUUUGGAAACAGAUAAGUCUUCGGACCUCUUACUAGGUGCUGCAUGGCUGUCGU